rnacentral:rRNA from 1 species
ACUCAAAUGAAUAGACGGGGACCCGCACAAGCAGCGGAGCGUGUGGUUUAAUUCGAUGCUACACGAAGAACCUUACCCAGGUUUGACAUACUGGUGGUAGUGAACCGAAAGGGGAACGACCCGCAAGGGAGCCAGUACAGGUGUUGCAUGGCUGUCGUCAGCUCGUGUCGUGAGAUGUUGGUUUAAGUACCCUAACGAGCGCAACCCUUGCUGCCAGUUACAAGUGUCUGGCGGGACUGCCGGCCACAAGCCGGAGGAAGGCGAGGAUGAUGUCAAGUCAGCAUGGCCUUUAUAUCUGGGGCUACACACACGCUACAAUGGGCAGGUACAAUGGGUUGCCAAGCCGCGAGGCGGAGCCAAUCCCACAAAACUGUCCUCAGUUCAGAUUGCAGGCUGCAACCCGCCUGCAUGAAGUCGGAGUUGCUAGUAAACGCGCGUCAGCUAUAGUGCGUUGAAUACGUUCCCGGGUCUUGCACACACCGCCCGU